CAGCAGCCACGGUAAUACGUAGGGGGCGAGCGUUGUCCGAAGUUACUGGGCGUAAAGCGCGCGUAGGCGGCUUCUUAAGUCUGAGGUGAAAGGUUCAACGCUUAACGUGAACAGUGCCUUGGAUACUGGGGAGCUUGAGUAUGGGAGAGGGCAGUGGAAUGGCUGGUGUAGCGGUGAAAUGCGUAGAUAUCAGUCGGAACACCCAUGGCGAAGGCAGCUGCCUGGCCUAAUACUGACGCUGAGGUGCGAAGGCGUGGGGAGCAAACAGGAUUAGAUACCCCAGUAGUCCCUGUCUCUUAUA
rnacentral:rRNA from 1 species